AAGCAACCCUAUCCCCACCCUUCCAAUCCCCUCCUCUUUCGUAUCCUCCCCAAACCCAUCCUGCUCGGCCGCCGGCACCGCGUCUCGCGCCGCCCCCUUCUCACCGCCUCGUCCUCCUGAUUCGAGCAGCUGCGACCCCGAGGCGCCGUCAAGGAUCCUAGCCUUCAGUCGUAGCGAGGAGCACAUCUGCACAUGAGUGGAAGGACGCGGGGAGGAGCGGACAGAUGCGGAGGGGGAGGAGAUGGAGCAGCAGGUCGUCUCCCACCUCCCACCUCGAGCUCCUCCUUGACCAGCCACGACCGCCUCGAGCUCUACCCUCCUCUUCGCGGAAACAGCGUCGCGGGUGGAGGCGGCGCUGCCGGUGGUUUCGCGGGCGCGCAGGGGUGCCGCCGCCGGUGGAAGUGCGAGCAUGCGGGAGCAGCACUGCCACAGCUACCGACGGAGGAUCACCGCUGUGUCGCGGGCGCGCGGGAGCGGCGCCGCCGGGAGAGGUGCGAGCACGAGGGAGCAGAACCGGCACUGCAGGUCGUCGACGGUUCAUUUUGGCAAGGUAGCAGAGAAGAUACAUGACUUGAAGUUGAUAUUUGGCAUGAUGGCAUCGACACUUGAGUGCCGAGCUUUCUAAUUAUCUUUGAGCAUGGAGGAAGACGAACUGACAAAUACAAGUGCGAGGCGCACACGUGAUGGUGCUCACAUGUGCAGUAUUGCAAUGGUCAGCGGCAACAUUCCAUGCCGCGUUCAGAUAAAAAAUCUCCAGCACCUAUCAGUUGGUUCCCUCGAGCCCCAGGUGUUGAGAUGCAUAGGUCGGCAAGUCUAUUGGCGUUAAAGGGGCAUGCUCUGAGGCUGAUUGGUUCAUACCAUCAGGGCAUAAACCCGAUGGCUGGACUCUCCAGCAAUCCCAUGAGAUGGACAUGUGAGCUGCAUUUGACCGUUGAUUGUUGAUCUUUGUCAAAAACCCAAAACUGAUAACCCUAUAACAGUUAAUUCAUAUGGUCAGAGGUAAUUUACUUGAGCACGGAUUGAUAUAGGAGGUGAAGCAUUUGAACAUUGAAGUCUCCAGAGCAUAAGCGCCUGAAAUUAUUGCUGAAGUAAAUUAGGAAGGUUAUCUUGCAGCUUCAUGUGCUAUUUGUUUAUCCUCUGAAAGUAUAUGCAGUAUUAUCAGAGGUGGUUGAGGAUUUGUCUACACAAGCAAAUGUACCUGUCAGCAAUUGAACCAGAGUCGGGUUUUUUCUGCGACAAGGAAGGUUAUGUUGCAGCUUCAUGUGCUAUGUUUUUAUCCUCUGAAAGUAUAUGCAGUAUUAUCUGAGAUGCUAAUUUGCAUGGAGCGUGCCCCAGUUCUGCAACUUGCUGGCCUCCUCCGCUUAUUCUCUCCUAGCCAAUGGAGGAUGGCACGUAGCAGCGCAGAUCAUAAUGACGCAGGCGAGCUUCUUUAAAUUUCUUUGCUUCUCCUUUUAUAUUUAUUAUCCUCUCUUUCUAUCAUUGCUUUGCAUAUGGGGUCAGCAACAUUUCGUUUUUGUUGAAAUUGCCUGGGGCUAUUUGGGCUACGGGCCGUGAUUAUUUCAAACUUUGCACUCUAAUUUUUUUUCCUUGCAUGGACCACGAGAAGACAUAAAUCAGGAAGCAUGCGGAGCGGUGUGGUAAGCGCCAACGGUUGCGGAUCAUCGGAAGUGAAACCCUUUCUGGCAAUUAAGAUGGAUUGCUAAUUCUUCUUCAAUGUAGGGCAUGUAGAAACACAUUAAGCUACAAGCGUGCUAUAUUUUUCUUUCUGGACUAGGCAUACGCUUGGAGAUCUACAGAAGUGGAAGGCUGAUGUUAUUUCAUCGUGCAUCUUAAAGGUUUAGAUCUUUCUAUGUUGGUGAUGCUACCGGCCGGCAGAGACAACAAUCAUAGCAACACCGAUAUAGAAUUUCCUAAGGUGUAGGAUUCAAUUUGCAACUGCAGAAUUCCUACGAUUCAAGCUUCUGAGGUAUGGCAUGCACAUCUCCUAUUAUCGAAAAGGCGCUUCUACAAAUUGGACUACGUAGUGGCUGAGUCAAAUUGUUGUUGAUGCCUACAUGCUGAAGGUUGAGAGGAGCUGUCCCAUCACCCGUACAAUACUCAUUUGGCUGCCAGCUUUUGAUACAUAGCAGAUUGGCAGAUCAAUUAACACCUAAGAUACAAUUCUUCCAGCCACAACUAAUCAAAGAUCUCUACUCCUUUUGUUCCUGCUGAAAAGGCUACUGUCGGGUGCGGAAAUUGAUGGAUCAACACCUUGCUUCUGGUAAGUGAGAUCGGCGCUCAGCGGUGUGCUCCCAUCGACCUAUGAUAAAUUGAGUUGCCGUUGUCUGGGGAUUUCGUUGUGACACUCAAGUGUCAGUUCGUUCGUUUCCUCUAUCUUCUGUUGUGUUUUUGUUCUGCUCUGUCUAUUGCUUACUUUCUAUUUUAUCUUCACGUUGUCAGCUAAUUGGCCUGGACGCACACUAUGGUGGUCCUCAUCUGUACUUCGUUCUGGAACGCCAUGCCUUAUUCAUGUGUCUGUUCUUUUGCACUCCACGUUUUCUUAUAUGUUUCACUUCACAAGAUAAUGACUUUCAACUGGGUAUCAAAUUUACAUAUAUUAUCA